rnacentral:rRNA from 1 species
UAACCCUACGGGGGGCAGCAGUGGGGAAUAUUGCACAAUGGGGGAAACCCUGAUGCAGCGACGCCGCGUGGGCGAGGAAGUACCUCGGUAUGUAAAGCCCUAUCAGCAGGGAAGAAACAGGACAGUACCUGACUAAGAAGCCCCGGCUAACUACGUGCCAGCAGCCGCGGUAAUACGUAGGGGGCAAGCGUUAUCCGGAUUUACUGGGUGUAAAGGGAGCGUAGACGGAAUAGCAAGUCUGAUGUGAAAACCCGGGGCUCAACUCAGGGAGUGCAUUGGAAACUGUUGAUCUAGAGUGUCGGAGG